UGCCAGCCGCCGCGGUAAUACGGAGGGUGCAAGCGUUGUUCGGAAUUAUUGGGCGUAAAGCGCGUGUAGGCGGUUCGUUAAGUCUGAUGUGAAAGCCCGGGGCUCAACCCCGGAAGUGCAUUGGAAACUGGCGAACUUGAGUACAGACGAGGUAGGCGGAAUUUAUGGUGUAGCGGUGAAAUGCAUAGAUACCAUAAAGAACACCAAUAGCGAAGGCAGCUUACUAGACUGAGACUGACGCUGAGGCACGAAGGCGUGGGGAGCGAACAGGAUUAGAUA
rnacentral:rRNA from 1 species